rnacentral:rRNA from 1 species
AUGUCGGGCCUCCGUCUCCGCCCCCGCCGCUCGUCAUCUUCUACCUUUCCGAUGCCCCGCUCCCGCCUCCGUCACUACGCCUCCGCCAUGCCGAUGUCCAGCCUCCGUCCCCUCCACCGCAGCUCCUCCUCCACCACGUCGCCUGCACGCGCCUGGUCCCCCCAUGCCGCCUUCGCCGCGGCCACGGAGCGUGUCCGCGCCGGGGCGCUCAGGCCGGAAGACGCACACACCCUGUUCGACGAAUUGCUUCGGCAGGCCACACCGGUCCCCGAGCGAUCCCUCAACGGCUUCCUUGCCGCCCUCGCCCGUGCGCCCGCCUCCGGAAACUGCAUCAGAGAUGGCCCCGCCCUUGCAGUGGUUCUCUUCAACCGUGUGUGCAGAGAGGAAGCCGGCCCGCAGGUGGCGGCGCUCACAGGCUGCACCUACAGCAUCCUCAUGGACUGCUACUGCCGCGCCCGUCGCCCGGACCUAGGGCUUGCCUUAUUUGGCCGCUUCCUCAGGGAAGGCCUGAAGACACACCAGAUCGUCGCCAACACCUUCCUCAAGUGCCUCUGCUAUGCGAAAUUGACGGAUGAGGCAGUGGACGUGCUGCUUCAUAGGAUGUCCGAGUUCGGGUGUGUGCCUGAUGCCAUCUCAUACAACACUGUCCUGAAGAGCUUAUGCGACAAUGGCAUGAGCCAGCGGGGGCUCGAACUGCUCCAGAUGAUUGCAAAAGAAGUAGGUGUCUGCUCUCUCAAUCUGGUGGCAUAUAACACGGUCAUCUACGGCUUCUUUAAGGAAGGUGAAACAGGCAAGGCAUGCAAUCUAUUCCAUGAAAUGAUGCAGCAAGGUGUUGAGCCCGAUGUGGUGACUUACAACUUGAUCAUUGAUGCUUUGUGCAAGGCCAGAGCAAUGGACAAGGCAGAAGUAGUCCUUCAGCAGAUGAUCAGUAAAGGUGCUCAACCUGAUACAGUGACAUAUAAUUGCAUGAUCAAUGGAUAUGCCACAUCUGGGCGGUUGAAAAAAUCUGCUAAAAUGUUCAGAGAAAUGAAAAGCCGGGGUCUUAUGCCAGAUAUUGUUACUUGCAACUCCUUCCUGUCCUCCCUUUGCAAGCAUGGAAGAAGCAAAGAAGCUAGAGAAAUAUUUGAUUCCAUGACCGCCAAGGGCCACAAACCGGAUAUCGUCUCAUACCGUAUUUUGCUUCAUGGGUAUGCCAGUGAAGGAUGCUUUGCUGAUAUGAUUGAUCUCUUUAAUUCAAUGAAAAGCAAUGGUAUUGCAGCUGACUGCCGUGUUUUCACCAUAUUAAUUGGUGCCUAUGCUAAACACGGAAUGAUGGAUGAUGCAAUGCUCAUAUUUACGGAAAUGCAGCAACAAGGUCUGAGUCCAAAUGUAGUGACAUAUUCAACUGUAAUAUCAGCACUUUCUAGAAUGGGUAGGUUGGCCAAUGCUAUGGAGAAAUUUAAUCAGAUGAUUUCCAUGGGGGUUCAACCGAACAAAGCUGUUUAUCACACCCUAAUUCAGGGCUCUUGUAUGCAUGGUGAUUUGAUUAAAGCCAAGGAGCUGGUUUCUGAAAUGAUGAACAAAGGUAUUCCUCAUCCUAGCAUUACGUUCUUCGGUUCAAUAAUAAACAGUUUAUGCAAAGAUGGAAGGGUUAUGGAUGCACAUGAUAUCUUUGACUUGGUUAUAGACAUAGGUGAGAGGCCUAGUGCCAUUACAUUUAAUUCACUGGUUGACGGAUAUUGCUUAGUUGGCAAGAUGGAUAAAGCAUUUGGAAUGCUUAAUGCCAUGGAAUCACUGGUA